AACGCACCUUGCGCUCUUUGGUAUUCCGAAGAGCAUGCCUGUUUGAGUGUCAUGAAAAUAUCAACCUUGACUUGGGUUUUGUGCUCUAGUCUCGGCUUGGAAUUGGGUGCUUGCCGCUUUUACGAGCGGCUCACCUUAAAUGUAUUAGCUGGAUCUGUCUUUGAGACUUGGUUUGACUUGGCGUAAUAAGUAUUUCGCUAAGGACAUUCUUCGGAGUGGCCUCGUUUCUAGGACGCUUGUCCGCUUUCCAAUACAAGUUCCACCUUGUGGACAUGACUUUUUAUUAUCUGGCCUCAAAUCAGGUAGGACUACCCGCUGAACUUAA
rnacentral:misc_RNA from 1 species